rnacentral:rRNA from 1 species
CUACGGGGGGCUGCAGUGAGGAAUAUUGCACAAUGGGGGGAACCCUGAUGCAGCAACGCCGCGUGGAGGAUGACGCAUUUCGGUGUGUAAACUCCUUUUAUAUGUCAAGAAAAUGACGGUAGCAUAUGGAUAAGCACCGGCUAACUCCGUGCCAGCAGCCGCGGUAAUACGAGAGGGUGCAAGCGUUACUCGGAAUCACUGGGCGUAAAGGACGCGUAGGCGGGUUGGAAAGUCAGGUGUGAAAUCCUACAGCUUAACUGUAGAACUGCACUUGAAACUUCUAAUCUAGAGUAUGGGAGGGGGAGAUGGAAUUAGUGGUGUAGGGGUAAAAUCCGUAGAUAUCACUAGGAAUACCUAAAGCGAAGGCGAUCUCCUGGAACAUUACUGACGCUAAGGCGUGAAAGCGUGGGGAGCAAACAGGAUUAGAUACCCCAGUAGUC